ACGAACGCUGGCGGCGUGCCUAAUACAUGCAAGUUGAGCGCUGAAGGUUGGUACUUGUACCGACUGGAUGAGCAGCGAACGGGUGAGUAACGCGUGGGGAAUCUGCCUUUGAGCGGGGGACAACAUUUGGAAACGAAUGCUAAUACCGCAUAAAAACUUUAAACACAAGUUUUAAGUUUGAAAGAUGCAAUUGCAUCACUCAAAGAUGAUCCCGCGUUGUAUUAGCUAGUUGGUGAGGUAAAGGCUCACCCAGGCGAUGAUACAUAGCCGACCUGAGAGGGUGAUCGGCCACAUUGGGACUGAGACACGGCCCAAACUCCUACGGGAGGCAGCAGUAGGGAAUCUUCGGCAAUGGACGAAAGUCUGACCGAGCAACGCCGCGUGAGUGAAGAAGGUUUUCGGAUCGUAAAACUCUGUUGGUAGAGAAGAACGUUGGUGAGAGUGGAAAGCUCAUCAAGUGACGGUAACUACCCAGAAAGGGACGGCUAACUACGUG
rnacentral:rRNA from 1 species